GUCCUUUUGAUAAUAAUUUAAGGUCUGGCCUGCCCACUGAAAUUUAAAUGGCCGUGGUAUUUUGACCGUGCUAAGGUAGCAUAAUCAUUAGUUUUUUAAUUAAAAACUGGAAUGAAGGGUUAGAUAAGAAAAUGACUGUCUCUAUUUAAUUUUAUUAGAACUUUAUUUUUAAGUUAAAAAGCUUAAUUUUAAUUAAAAGACGAGAAGACCCUAUAGAGUUUAACUAUUAAUAAAUUUUUUUAUUUUAGAAUUUAAUUAUUAAAUUUUAUUUAUAGUUUAAUUGGGGCGAUUUAAAAAUUUACUUAACUUUUUUUUUAUUUAACAUUGAUUUAUGAUUAGUUGAUCCAAAAAUUUUUGAUUAUAAGAUAAAAUUACCUUAGGGAUAACAGCGUAAUUUUUUUAAAAAGUUCAUAUUGAAAAAAAAGAUUGCGACCUCGAUGUUGGAUUAAAAUUAAUUUUUGGUGUAGAAGCUAAAAAUUUUAGGUCUGUUCGACCUUUAAAAUUUUACA
rnacentral:rRNA from 1 species